rnacentral:sRNA from 1 species
UAUGGCUUUCACUUAAAUGCGAUUCGGGGUCUGCCAGGCUCAUUCAUCAAAGAGGUACAGAAGGGCGGUCCUGCUGACUUGGCUGGGCUAGAGGAUGAGGAUGUCAUCAUUGAAGUGAAUGGGGUGAAUGUGCUAGAUGAACCCUAUGAGAAGGUGGUGGAUAGAAUCCAGAGCAGUGGGAAGAAUGUCACAUUUCUAGUCUGUGGAAAGAAGGCCUAUGAUUAUUUCCAAGCUAAGAAAAUCCCUAUUGUUUCCUCCCUGGCUGAUCCACUUGACACCCCUCCAGAUUCUAAAGAAGGAAUAGUGGUGGAGUCAAAGCAUGAUUCGCACAUGGCAAAAGAACGGCUCUACACAAUUGCUGUCAACUGCAUGCUGUGAAAGAAAGAAAUUCUAGCCCACAGUACAGCCUCACAUUCUUCUUCCAAUUCUGAAGAUACAGAGAUGUGAUGAAAACAAGCGGCUAUUGCAGACGGCUAAUUUAUGCUUAACUUAGGAAGAGAUAAGGUUCCUUGAGCACCAAAGAUGAUUCAUAACUCUGUAUAGGUGACAGCUGCUUAUAAAAGCAUCUUAGCAGAUAAGCCUAUUAAAAUUGUGCUUUUGUAACAAUGUUGUGGUUGCUAGAAUAAAUACCAUUAACAAAUG